UUUGAUUGGACUAUGCAUAGACUCGUUAGUCCAGCCAAAAUGUAACUCCAUAAUACCAGCCUAGUUCGGCAAGGGUGGAAACUGGACUUGUAUAGUCAGUUAACUAACUUGCCUCGGAAAGAUGGAUAGUUGUCUAUGAUAAAGUGGUUAAUGGUAUAGUUGUGUACUUCUCUUAGCAUUGGUGUUAGUCAAUGUUAGUUCUGUCAAUGUCUGAUUUAUGAUCCAAAAGAUCUAAUGCUUGCUUUCUAGUUUUGUUGUUCUCAAAGACUAUUGUACCCUUCACUUUAACAUAAAACUAAAUGUUAUUCAUCUGUUUCAUCAUUGUUUAAACAUGUAACCCACAUCUGACCCCACGUGCACAAAGGGACUUCAGUGAUUCAGCUGUCUCUUCUGAAAGACGGUGCAAUGAUCAUUUUGAGCAGGUGAUCCAGAGCCACAAAGUGAUCUUAGUAUUAAGAUGAUCAACUUCCUUACUUUAACAUGGAGUAAUGAUACAGCUGAGAUUGUUGUGUUGCCCUUGAAGAUCCGGGGCCCCGUUCCUCAAAGCGAUCUUAGCGCUACGAUGAUCGUAAGCCUGUGUUAAAGUAUGGGACUUACGAUCACCAUAGCGCUAAGAUCGCUUUGAGGAACAGGGCCCAGGACUUCAGCAGCCGAUGCUUGUCGUAAGAAGCGACUAACGGCAUCAGGUGGUCAGACUCACUGACUUCGUUCAUGCAUGUCAUCAUAUCCAAAUUGUGUAAAUCGAUGCUCAUGAUGUCAAUCCCUGGGUUGAAUGGUCUAGAUUUGAUUAAUUACAGACUGCUGUCAUACAGCUGGAAUAUUGCUGAGUGCGGCAUUUAACAACAAAUAAUCAAACAGAUUGUGUAGUAGAAAAGCAGCCAAGGCCAAGUUCCACUAAGCAAUCUUGGCAUUGUGACUCAUUGGUCAAUGUUAAUAUAUGGGUUUUACAAUUGUCUUAAGGCUAUGAUCACUUUGUAUAACAGGACCAUGUUGGACAGAGCCAUCUCCAUGAUCCCUUCUAACUUGCAUAAAUUAACAUUGACUUGCAACAGCCUUAGCAAUAAGAUGGCUUUGAACAUUGAUUAGGGACUGGUCAUAUACUAUAGGGAGUAGGUGGGUCAUGAAAAAAUGCUACAUGAAGGGGGAGGGGAAGGGGCAAAAAAUGAUCUGGUCCGUAGGCUAAUUCCUUCCCUCCCCCUAUAGUAAAUUACCAGUCCCGGAGAUGGCUUUGUGUAACAAGUCCCUGCUGCUGCAUUGAUCCUGAGUGGCCCAGUGACCAGCUCACACCUCUCCCCAACACUCAUAUGCAUCUACUUACAACUUGACCUGUAUAUUGGAUGGUUGUCUCAUUAUCCUUUGAUAGACUCAAUCCUCACAUAAGGUGCUUACAAUCUGCAUUUUGUACUUUACAUACAAGUAUUUUCUAUAUGUUUUGUGAACCCUAAGAUUUAUCUAGAUACAUACUGAUUCAGUGUCGCAAUGUCACAGUAUAUAUAGUUAUGGAUGUCACACACAACCCUUGGGUCUUCUCUCUGGAAGGCUGUAGAUAGAAUGUGCAUGAUCCUCUGCCAGCACUAGUCCCGGUAGAUAGAGAAGAAACAGUCCUUGCAAUGCAACAAGCACACUUAAAAGCAGUCACUGCACCGUUUGAUUUAUUUAUUCCACCUCACCUACUUACAAUGAUGUCAUGUAUGCAUGUUGCCAGAUCUUACCUCAGUGUGAUAAAGAACAAAACUAGGAACCUGGAAGUCCCACUCCGGAGUUGUUGGAAUUAUAGAUCAGAAUGGGUCCUCAAGACUCUCCUAACAGAACCUUUGUGGAGAUUCCAGGUCAGAAAGGUCACAGACUCUCUCCAUCAAGAAUCUCUGUAGGGAUUCCGGGUCACAAACACUCUCUAAUAAGAAACUCUGUAGGGAUUCUAGGUCAAAAUAGGUCCGAAACGCUCCCUCCAAAGUACCUCCAACGGGAUUCCAGGUCAAUAUUGGUCAGAAACACUCUCAACCAAGAACCUGUUGUAUUUCCAGGUCAGAAUAGGUCAGAAACACUCUCAACCAAGAACCUGUUGCGAUUCCAGGUCAGAAUAGGUCGGAAACACACUCUACCAAGAACCUGUUGCGAAUCCAGGUCAGAAAAACUCUCUGCCAAGAACCUGUUGCGAUUGCAGGUCAGAAUAGGUCAGAAACGCUCUUUACCAAGAACCUGUUGCGAUUCCAAACAAACAGGGUAUUUAUCUGAAGGUUGUAUGUUUCACAACCUCUUACCUCAACUCUUGAGAGCAUCCAUCAACCCAUUUUACCCUGCAUGUAGAUCCUGCUACAGGGUUCCCCAUUUUGCAUUCUCGAUAUAAACACAGGAUGUAUGAAAGGUUAUGCUGGUAAAAAUUAAUUAAUCUGUGAAAGACAUAUCAUUUAAUCUUUGAGGGUCUAUAGGUAGCCUGGGUUGGAUUCAAUACACUGGAAUAUACUGUGAAGAUUAUUCUUGGUGUCUCUUGCUGUGAUUUGGCUGGAAUAUUGCUGAAACGGAAUGAAACCACUCCGCAACCCAGGGCCAGCCACUCCGCAACCCAGGGCCAGCCACUCCGCAACCCAGGGCCAACCACUCCGCAACCCAGGGCUAACCACUCCGCAACCCAGGGCUAACCACUUUGCAACCGAGGGCUAACCACUCCACAACCCAGCACCUGGUUGAUGUUUUCUCACACCCUGUAGAUGUUCCUCUUAUCAGGCAAAGGUGUGGUCGGAUAGCCUAGUGGUCAAAGCAUUCGCUCGUCACACCGAAGAUCCGGGUUCGACUCCCAACAUGGGUACAAUGUGUGAAGCCCAUUUUUGGUGUCCCACGCCAUGAUAUUGCUGAAAUAUUGCUAAAAGUGGCAUAAAACCAUACUCACUCACUCCUAACUCUUAACUCUUAUCAGGCAAGAGUUUGUCUGUACCAGAUCCAAUAACACAUCUCAGACCACAGGCAGUCUUGGUGUCAGGAACCCCCCUUUUGAAAACCUAAUGUUGUAGGCAGUAACAUUAUCUGAGAGAGGAUUUCGAUAUUUUGGACCCCCCCCCCCUUUAAAAAUGCUGGAUCCACCCUUGCAAACUGGUAGCUAACAAUGGCAUGAAACACCACUCACUCACUGUUGAAAUCUGUUCAAUGCACUUGAUUUAAGCCAAAUGUUUAUUCACUCUCCGCACAUGAAAUAGUAAAUGCCACCCAUGUUUGGAAGGAUACUUAAGUUUUGAACGUUUGCUGCACAACACUGAAUGACAGUACACGGAAAGAAAGUUGCACCAGAAUACUGGUGUCACACUCACAAAUGCAAAUUGCACCGAACUAGUUUUAACCGGACAACAUGAUGAACAGACAAGCAAACUCUGCAUGGCAUGACAGACGCGUGUCUGUAACUUCACUGCACUGCACCACAGACUCCACAGUGGAAUACACCAGCCCAUGAAACUUGCUGCUGGAUUAACCUGGGAUACCCUUUAUUGUUACCAUGGCAACUGUUCAAAGAACGGAUGCAGGAUGCACGACACCGUACCCCUUUCCCGACUCGCACCAUGGUACGUACUUAUCACUGCGCAUGACAACACUGCACGGAUACCACCGAACUAUGCACCUUGCCAUUUACAUGCAGCCGCAGUUCCUUGCUUGAUAUGUGGAGUCAUCGGAAACAUUCUCGGAAUGUGCCCGAGUACAGGGUAUAACUGCAUUGAGAUGGCAUGAACAACUGAUGCAAUAAACACAUUACAACACUGA
rnacentral:lncRNA from 1 species